rnacentral:tRNA from 1 species
GUGGGUAUAGCUCAGUGGUAGAAUGCCUGCUUAGCAUGCAUGAGGUCCUGGGUUCAAUUCCUAGUACCUCCA